rnacentral:rRNA from 1 species
GACGAACGCUGGCGGCGUGCCUAAUACAUGCCAGUUGAGCGCUGAAGGUUGGUACUUGUACCAACUGGAUGAGCAGCGAACGGGUGAGUAACGCGUGGGGAAUCUGCCUUUGAGCGGGGGACAACAUUUGGAAACGAAUGCUAAUACCGCAUAAAAACUUUAAACACAAGUUUUAAGUUUGAAAGAUGCAAUUGCAUCACUCAAAGAUGAUCCCGCGUUGUAUUAGCUAGUUGGUGAGGUAAAGGCUCACCAAGGCGAUGAUACAUAGCCGACCUGAGAGGGUGAUCGGCCACUUUGGGACUGAGACACGGCCCAAACUCCUACGGGAGGCAGCAGUAGGGAAUCUUCGGCAAUGGACGAAAGUCUGGCCGAGCAACGCCGCGUGAGUGAAGAAGGUUUUCGGAUCGUAAAACUCUGUUGGUAGAGAAGAACGUUGGUGAGAGUGGAAAGCUCAUCAAGUGACGGUAACUACCCAGAAAGGGACGGCUAACUACGUG